rnacentral:rRNA from 1 species
GAUAAACGCUAGCGGCAGGCUUAAUACAUGCAAGUCGUGGGGCAGCAUGGUGUGUAGCAAUACACACUGAUGGCGACCGGCAAACGGGUGCGGAACACGUACGCAACUUACCCUUAAGUGGGGGAUAGCCCGGGGAAACCCGGAUUAAUACCUCGUAACACUAUGGUGUGGCAUCACACUUUAGUUAUAGCUCCGGCGCUUAAGGAUGGGCGUGCGUCCCAUUAGGUAGUUGGUUGAGGUAACGGCUCACCAAGCCUGCGAUGGGUAACUGGUGUGAGAGCACGACCAGUCACACGGGCACUGAGACACGGGCCCGACUCCUACGGGAGGCAGCAGUAAGGAAUAUUGGUCAAUGGACGCAAGUCUGAACCAGCCAUGCCGCGUGGAGGAUGAAGGCCCUCUGGGUUGUAAACUUCUUUUAUGGGGGACGAAACCCUGGACUUUUAUCCAGCCUGACGGUACCUGGAGAAAAAGCCCCGGCUAACUUCGUGCCAGCCGCCGCGGUAAAAC